rnacentral:rRNA from 2 species
UAGGGAAUCUUCCGCAAUGGACGAAAGUCUGACGGAGCAACGCCGCGUGAGCGAUGAAGGCCUUCGGGUCGUAAAGCUCUGUUGUUAGGGAAGAACAAGUAUCGGAGUAACUGCCGGUACCUUGACGGUACCUAACCAGAAAGCCACGGCUAACUACGUG